AAGGUGGGGCUGAUGACUGGGGUGAAGUCGUAACAAGGUAGCCGUACCGGAAGGUGCGGCUGGAUCACCUCCUACAGGGAGACAACAACUGAUCGUGAUGUCUGAUACUUUAUUUUCAGGCCAUGAUCCUGUCACCUUAGGUCGAUCGGUACCUCAAAUUGAGACAAAAACUCUUUUAUUUACUUGAAAGGUUGAAAAGUUCUCAAUUUCAGUUCCUAAACUUGUCUAGGUCACACCCAAACGAGGGUAAUCCUGGGCCAUUAGCUCAGGUGGUUAGAGCGCACCCCUGAUAAGGGUGAGGUCCCUGGUUCAAGUCCAGGAUGGCCCAUUCGGUGUUGGGGGUAUAGCUCAGUUGGUAGAGCGCCUGCUUUGCAAGCAGGAUGUCAGCGGUUCGAGUCCGCUUACCUCCACUGAUCACCACCUAAUAUACGAAUACCCAUGGAUUUUCUUUGUUAGAUGUGAUUUAGGCAUAUUUUAUUAGAACGAACCUAGCUUCCUAUCAUUCCCUCUUCUUGAAAUAAUGAACAGGAAAUGGUUGAUAGGACGCUGGGCUCACUGUAAUUAUUUAAUUGCAGAUGCGUUCAGUAGAACCUUGACAACUGCAUAGAUAAGUCUGGAAAAAAUAAAGCAUCUCAUGGAUGCAUUUUUUUCUUGAAUUAAAUCAUUCAUUAUCCUUACUAGUAAGGAUAAUGAUUGCUAAAUUUUAUUCUAGAAAUCAGUGUUUAAUUCUUGAGUAAGAGCCAAGACUCUAUAAGCUUUUAUUAAUGCUUGAGAGAUAAUGGUCAAGCUACAA
rnacentral:misc_RNA from 1 species